UGAACACCGAUGACAGGUAUGUGCCGGCUAAGCCUGUCCCCGGCGCCAUCGUGGUCAACAUUGGUGAUAUGAUGCAGCGAUGGACUGCGGAUCAGCUUAAAGGCACAAAACACCGGGUCCUGAUUCCUGAAGCGGAACUUAAGAAACAUCAGAGUCGACAAUCAGUUGCUUUCUUUGUCAACCCUAAUAGUGAUACCAUGAUUAAAUGUCUGGAUGGUUCAGACAAAUAUGAACCAAUCUCAUGCGAGGACUAUCUGAACUAUAGGUUCAGUCUGACCUUUUAGUUAUGGAGGGGCGGUGGGGUAGCCCAGUGGUUAAAGCGUUGGCUCGUCACGCCGAAGACCCGGGUUCGAAUCCCCACAUGGGUACAAUUUGUGAAGCCCAUUUCUGGUGUCCCCCGCCGUGACGUUGCUGGAAUAUUGCUAAAAGCGGCGUAAAACCAAAAUUCAGUCAGUCAGUAUUAGUUAUGGGGGCAAGCACUUGCCAACAUUGCUUGGGAAAUCUUAUCCUUAACAAUUAAACCAUAUGUUUUGCCGCUUCAUCGUGUGCGUUUCAUAGCCUACUUUUACAGAAUGGUAAUGCUGAUAGACAUCCCGACAGCAAUGGUACAAGAAUAUUUAUUUUGAGCAUCAUUAAAAUUAUAUGAGGUUAGAUACAUUUUAGGGUAUAACUUGAAUCUUGGUUAGAAAUCACAUAUAGUACUUGGCUUGUUAGUUCUAAAUAUACAGACUAAGGUGAUCACA